GAUGAACGCUGGCGGCGUGCUUAACACAUGCAAGUCGAGCGGAGAUAUAUAACCGGAGAGCUUCGGCAGGAAGGAUAUAUAUUUUAGCGGCGGACGGGUGAGUAACGUGUGGGCAACCUGCCAUAUACUGGGGAAUAAUCAUUGGAAACGAUGACUAAUACCGCAUGUGGUCACGAGAUGGCAUCAUUUUGUGAAGAAAGGACUUCGGUUCGGUAUAUGAUGGGCCCGCAUCUGAUUAGCUAGUUGGUGAGAUAAUAGCUCACCAAGGCGACGAUCAGUAGCCGACCUGAGAGGGUGAUCGGCCACAUUGGGACUGAGACACGGCCCAAACUCCUACGGGAGGCAGCAGUGGGGAAUAUUGCACAAUGGGGGAAACCCUGAUGCAGCAACGCCGCGUGAAGGAAGAAGGUUUUCGGAUCGUAAACUUCUAUCAAUAGGGAAGAAAGAAAUGACGGUACCUAAAUAAGAAGCCCCGGCUAACUACGUGCCAGCCGCCGCCGUAAGAC
rnacentral:rRNA from 1 species